AUUGAACGCUGGCGGCAGGCUUAACACAUGCAAGUCGAGCGAGCGGCGGACGGGUGAGUAAUGUAUGGGGAUCUGCCUGAUAGAGGGGGAUAACUACUGGAAACGGUGGCUAAUACAGCAUACCAUCGGAUGAACCCAUAUGGGAUUAGCUAGUAGGUGGGGUAAUGGCUCACCUAGGCGACGAUCUCUAGCUGGUCUGAGAGGAUGAUCAGCCACACUGGGACUGAGACACGGCCCAGACUCCUACGGGAGGCAGCAGUGGGGAAGAUUGCACAAUGGGCGCAAGCCUGAUACAGCCAUGCCGCGUGUAUGAAGAAGGCCUUAGGGUUGUAAAGCACUUUCAGCGAGGAGGCGUUACCCGCAGAAGAAGCACCGGCUAACUCCGUGCCAGCAGCCGCGGUAAUUC
rnacentral:rRNA from 1 species